ensembl:lncRNA
GCCAGAGGACCCGCCCCAGCCCUGCCCCACUGCCAGGCGAGCAUACGUCGGCCCAGGGUCAGGGCUCUGCGGAGGGGCCGGGAGGGUCCAGGCUCCCCACGGGGGGAGGUCCCCGAGCCAGCUGCGCAGAGAGCAAAACCCAGAGUUGGGGGCGCAGGAAAUUGCAGGUGGAGACUGAGGGGAAGCUUGAGGAUCCGGCCACUGACGCCCUCACCCCCGGCGGAGGCCGCCCCUUAGGGCUGCGACCUCUCCGCUGAGUCUCAGCUCGGUCGCCCCUCCCCCGUGGUCGCGCCGAUGGCCGCCUGCUUGUAAGUCAUUAAUUCUGUUCCAGAGGCGCCGGCGCCAUGGCGAGGACUUCUGUCAGCGACCCCACACCGCGCUCCACGCCCCCUGCCCCACCCCCAGACCCAGAGCGGGUGAGGGGUGGACACGGAUGCGGCUCCUCGCUCACCGAGGCUUGGAGACCGCUGGAGCGCGGCGCAGAAGCUCUGGAGGGCGUCGGGGUCCCCGAGUUGAUGGAGGGGGCGGGGCCCGCCCCGGGGACAAAGACCCCCAGGCUGCCUGGGGGCUGGAUGCGGCAGACAGGGAGAAAAAGCAAGUAUCCCGUGUCCUCCGUCCCCCAAAUCCACUCAAGCUGGGACCUGAGUGUUGGGGUGGGUGGAGUGGAGGGGAGGACAGAACCCUCCUGGGCCUUGGGGGUACGUGCAGGCGACGCUGCAGGGGGGCCCACCGGGGCGUCGCCUCCUCCCCGCACGCGAGGCUGUAGCUACACCCCCAAAACCCUCCCGGAAGCUUCGCGGGUCCCUUUCACUCUCCACAGUCCAGCCGGCUGCUGGCCGCGACCACCGCACGCCCCCCGCCGCUCAGAUGGGGCGGGGGACGGGCUCGCGUCAGUGGGUCGGGAGGGAAUUCCCGCUCAGCGGCGACAGUCGGGCCGGGAACCCCACGCCCCGCCAGCGGGGAGGGCUCCGUUAAGGACGGUGCCAGCAUCGCGCCGGUCUGGGCGGCCACAGGCCACACGGUGCGGUUUGGGAAGAGAGAAAGUUGGGGGCGACACCCAGAGACGGGAGAGUCAAGAAGGAGGGACGAGCAGGGGGCGUGGAGGCAAGAGCGGCAGGACUGGAUGUCACUGA